CAACUACUCCCUCUGUCCCAAAUUUCUUGUCUUAGAUUUGUCUAGAUACGGAUGUAUCUAAUACUAAAAUGUGACUUGAUACAUCUAUAUCUAGACAAAUCUAAGACAAGAAUUUUGGGACGGAGGGAGUACUUU
rfam:Triticum aestivum genome assembly, contig: Triticum_aestivum_CS42_TGACv1_scaffold_640954_T_4BL-0.156504_4BS-0.080010